AUCCUUUCGGGUACGUCUGCUGAAACCUUAGUGAUUGAUUAGGCGACUCUAAAUAAGUAUAAUCCUCGAGGUUUGCCCUCGAGCACUAGCCACCCUUUAUGGUUGGCGACAUUACCAUCUUGCGGGAACAUUCGACCUAGUUAUAAAUUAGUUAGGAUAACCCGCAGUCACACUCGUGGCUCACAGGCUAAAUGGUAGUGGGCGAAGAUGUUAGGCAUCUAUGCUUCAGAUAUAGUCGGUCCCCAGAUGUCUCUGGGAGGCUUGUGGAUUUUGGUGGCUUCGAACCAAUUUCUACAAGUGAGUAAACGUUCCGUAGGUGAACCUGCGGAAGGAUCAUU
rnacentral:rRNA from 1 species